UCCUACGGGGGGCUGCAGUAGGGAAUAUUGCGCAAUGGAGGAAACUCUGACGCAGCGACGCCGCGUGCGGGAUGAAGGCCUUCGGGUUGUAAACCGCUUUCAGUAGGGAAGAAGCGAAAGUGACGGUACCUACAAAAGAAGCACCGGCUAACUAUGUGCCAGCAGCCGCGGUAAUACAUAGGGUGCAAGCGUUGUCCGGAAUUAUUGGGCGUAAAGAGCUCGUAGGCGGUUUGACACGUCGGAUGUGAAAACUCGGGGCUUAACUCCGAGCCUGCAUUCGAUACGGUCUAACUAGAGUGUGGUAGGGGAAACUGGAAUUCCUGGUGUAGCGGUGAAAUGCGCAGAUAUCAGGAGGAACACCGAUGGCGAAGGCAGGUUUCUGGGCCACCACUGACGCUGAGGAGCGAAAGCGUGGGGAGCGAACAGGAUUAGAUACCCUGGUAGUCCACGCCGUAAACGGUGGGCGCUAGAUGUGGGGACUAUUCCAUGGUCUCUGUGUCGCAGCUAACGCAUUAAGCGCCCCGCCUGGGGAGUACGGCCGCAAGGCUAAAACUCAAAGGAAUUGACGG
rnacentral:rRNA from 1 species